ACCCUGACGCCUCGCAACACCAUGGCCGGUCCCGGGGCGAAAGCCGAGCGGCCGGGCGCCCUAUCCGCCCUGGACGACCCAUCCGACAUCGCAUCCCCGCCUCCCUCACGCGCCUGCGCGGGACCUGCCAAGGAGGCUGCGCGCUUGCGCACUCCCCGCCCACCCGCGGUCGUCCCCGGCCAAAGUCUAUUUGGCUGGUCUGCUUCGUUCUGAUGGUCAAGUUCAUGCUUAAGUCCUUGCCCUUAAGAACUCCGGCGUGUGAGGGUCCCUCUCUCCGGAAGCUUUCGUACUGCCACCCGAAUCCCUGCCUCCAUCCUUCAGUGAGUGACUAAAGGAUGUUAGCUCUCAGCUACUGCUCCUGCACCAUGCCUGCUGCCAUCCCUCCACUAUGAUCUUCAAGGACUUAGCCUCUGAAACUACUCUAGAAGAACACAGAGAUCAUGACAAGUGAUAAAAAUUACAGGGGAAAAAAAUAAGAGCCAAAAAGUCUUUCACGGACAGCUCCCCAAGGAGCUCCAGCAGGUGUUGAGUAUCAGUAAUGCACAGCAUAAAGAAAAGGACCUGUUCUAGCUUCCUCCAUCGGCCAGUGGAGGCUGUGAAGACUACUAAUAAUGCCAAGCUUCAGGCGAAGGGCGGACAGGCGUGAUAACCUGACCAGCUGGGGGAUUCGCAUGGAGAACAGAACUGCCAUUAGGCUCUUCCCUGUCCGUGGACUGCCUCUGUUCAAGUGAUGGCAGCACUCGUGAGACCUGUGAUUGAUGACGUCACGUACCUGUACAUGCUGAAGACUGUGUUGCCAUUGUGCAUAAGGUACACGUACACUUCCUCCACAUCCUCAUGCUUCAUCAUGCUGAAGGUGAAGAAGUACACACCUGGAAAGGACACGGAUUUACUCAUGCACUCAUACAUCCAAGGUUUUGAACUACUAGCUAUACAAGAGAAGAAAACAGAAAUAUCUACAAGAAAAAACUAAAGAAGCAAUGGGCCAUUCAUGUUUCUUUUCUAUAAAGAUAUCAGCUAUGAAGAUCCUUCUGAUGUUGAGUCACAAAAGAACAGUUUUGCUUUGUUACGUGUCAGAGAUGCAUAUUUGAUGGCAAUCAGUGAUGCCCAUUCAAAUACCUAGAGACUGGUUCAUAGAUGAAAAGCAAAGACAUGAAAAUUAAAGGAUUUCAAGAGAUA